UACGUAGGGGGCUAGCGUUGUCCGGAAUCAUUGGGCGUAAAGAGCGUGUAGGCGGCCAGAUAGGUCUGCUGUGAAAACCUGAGGCUCAACCUCGGGCGUGCGGUGGAUACUGCCGGGCUGGAGUCCGGAAGAGGCGAGUGGAAUUCCUGGUGUAGCGGUGAAAUGCGCAGAUAUCAGGAGGAACACCAAUGGCGAAGGCAGCUCGCUGGGACGGUACUGACGCUGAGACGCGAAAGCGUGGGGAGCAAACAGG
rnacentral:rRNA from 1 species